rnacentral:lncRNA from 1 species
CAGAGCAGAGAGGACACCUGACUGUGUCUGCCAGACCCGUUCCCCAGAGGACGCUGCCCUCCCGAGGAACCUCCCUCCUCUCUCCACCCACGGGGGCAGGCGCAUUCCUGGCUGGCACCUCGGGGGAUUUAGGAUUUCUUCCUAACGAGCUCUCAGUCAGUCACCUGGGCUGUGCGUGAGUUCAUGUCUUCAGGAGCUGAGGACUACGAGGCAUCACAAAAGUGGCCACGAGAGGCAGGUAAAGGCCCCCAAAGUCUUCACCAUCGUCCGCCUCAGAAAAUCACUUGUCUGAUGCUCAGGCGGAGCCCAGCAAACACCCCGACCCCCUGGAGGUGCCACGAGGAAAGGAGUGUCCUCAGAGAGCUUCCGGGGAAGCCAGCCCUAUGAAGCCCUCCACGUUCACCAGGAGUUCAUCGCAGCUGCGGCCAGGCUGGGAAGGAGAGGUGGCCACAGGCAGGCAGCGUGUCUGUUCCGGAUGCAAAGCGCAGCCCCAGCCCCGCCCGCUGGAGCCCUCUCUGGCGCUGGGUGGACAAAGCUGCAGUGCGCCGGCCAGGGAAGGCCGAGGAGCCGCCCAGGCGAGGCCCGAGCUGCCUGGUGGCAUCUGUGUGGACCCCAGGCCAUGUCACUGCCUCAGCACACUCGACCUCCAACUCACAUUCCUCACAGGUGGCCCGGGAAAGGGGACCACCCACUCGGCAGGAGCUCCCUGAGCCAGCUCAGUGGAUGGAGCAAACUGACUUGGAAAUCAAAGUGAUGCCCAGACGGAGCAAGAGACAGCCCCGGACCAGCCCCCGGGCCACACCCGCGCACCAGCCAGGACCAGGCCCCGCGGAGGCUUGCUGGGAAGCUGGCGCUGUGUUGUUUCCCCCGCCAGCUGCUCGCUUCCUCCCGGGCUCACUGGAGUGCAAACUGCUUUCACUUGUUUGAAAUGGAAAUUUUUUCGUCUCUUUAUACUUAUUGUCACUUGUAUUUUUCUCCCCAGAAAUGGGGAUUUGGACGUGAAGGCGGCUUGUGUGUGCGUUUCCGUGUGCGUGAACAGACACAUCUGUUUCC